rnacentral:rRNA from 1 species
UACGUAGGGGGCAAGCGUUGUCCGGAAUCAUUGGGCGUAAAGCGUGUGUAGGCGGCUCGAUAAGUCCGUUCUGAAAGUCCAGGGCUCAACCCUGGGAUGCGGAUGGAUACUGUCGAGCUCGAGUCCGGAAGAGGCGAGUGGAAUUCCUGGUGUAGCGGUGAAAUGCGCAGAUAUCAGGAGGAACACCAAUGGCGAAGGCAGCUCGCUGGGACGUGACUGACGCUGAGGUGCGAAAGCGUGGGGAGCAAACAGG